UGGCUCGGUGGUUAAGAGCAUUGUAUUGCUCUUCCAAAGGUCCUGGGUUCAAUUCCCAG
rnacentral:tRNA from 1 species